CUCAAGUCGACGGAUUCGUCAUUUGUUUUCAGUGUCGCGGGAAGAAUCUACUUAUCUAGACAAAAUGAAAUUAGUCUUUCUAUUCGCCUUUGUAGCUCUGUGCAUGCAGAUAUGUUCAGUAUCUUGCGAUGUCACUCAGAUACUCAACGGUGUAACUACAUCAACAACCACUCCUAAGCCGUGGGGUAAAAAGAUUAAAAAUGGCUUGGAUAACUUUUUCCGAGGCGCUGCCGUGGUUGGAGUGAUACAAGGAGCCUUCCAAGGCAGUAAGGCCCAUAAGAUGAAGCCCCAUCAUGAUGCACCUAAAAUCUGAAAUUUAAGCUCGUUCCUAUUUCUCAAUGAAAAUCAAAUUUACUUCAUUUGGGUUAGACAUUUUACCAAAGCUUACUAAGUAGGAUGUAAACAUAACAUGAAAGAUUUUAAAUAAAUAAUAAGUUUAAGUUUA